rnacentral:ncRNA from 2 species
AGUGGUGGUAGAGGUGCAAAGACCAUGAGUAUGUUUUCUGAGGAUGAUGAGGUCCAGUGAAGAUUACAGAAAGGGGAAUUUGCCGAAGCGUAAUUAGUAACUCACUAUUAAUUAAGCUGGACCUACAUUGAAAAAGUGUAGGGCUGUCACAUAACUAACCCAAUGGUUGUGUGGAGAACUAUCUCACGA